AGUGAACGCUGGCGGUAGGCCUAACACAUGCAAGUCGAACGGCAGCACAGUAAGAGCUUGCUCUUACGGGUGGCGAGUGGCGGACGGGUGAGGAAUACAUCGGAAUCUACUUUUUCGUGGGGGAUAACGUAGGGAAACUUACGCUAAUACCGCAUACGACCUACGGGUGAAAGCAGGGGAUCUUCGGACCUUGCGCGAUUGAAUGAGCCGAUGUCGGAUUAGCUAGUUGGCGGGGUAAAGGCCCACCAAGGCGACGAUCCGUAGCUGGUCUGAGAGGAUGAUCAGCCACACUGGAACUGAGACACGGUCAAGAGUCCUACGGGAGGGAGCAGUGGGGAAUAUUGGACAAUGGGCGCAAGCCUGAUCCAGCCAUACCGCGUGGGUGAAGAAGGCCUUCGGGUUGUAAAGACCUUUUGUUGGGAAAGAAAAGCAGCAGGUUAAUACCCCGCUGUUCUGACGGUACCUAAAGAAUAAGCACCGGCUAACUUCGUG
rnacentral:rRNA from 1 species